rnacentral:tRNA from 1 species
GCCUGGGUAGCUCAGUCGGUUAAGCAUCUGACUUUGGCUCAGAUCAUGAUCUCACAGUCUGUGGGUUCGAGCCCCGCAUUGGUCU